CAUGGAAUGAUGCUUCACCAAUGGUUCGGGCGACUGGAUUUUGUUACACUAAUCCAGGAUCUCAGGCUUCAUCCGUCGAUGAAUCUUGUAUUCAUCGGUCUAUAAAUAAGGAGUCAACAAAAGGUUGUUAGUUGCUAUUGCUAAGAACACGAUACUCAAAAUUGGUAUUGUGAAGGUGGCAGAAGCUCAAUAAGCAUUUGAAAAGGAAUCUCUUUCUAGAGUAGAGAGUGAAGUUAGGGGGGAAUUAGCACAAACACUUCAUGACAACGAGGUUAAUAUUUUUUCCUCGCUAUCAUAGCUCCAAGUUCCUUUAUUUCUAUUAAACUAUCUUAGACAUUAAUACGCCUAAUACAAAUUCUUUUGUUCUCUACUUUGUUUUUUCUUACUAUCAUAGCUCUGAAUUCCUUUUCUCACUUCAUGGCAAUGAGGUUAACACACUUGGUAUGCCCAUUUUUUUGCUUCCUCUAUUUUCACGAAAUUCAAUGUGAAUGUUUAUUUAUGACUUCAAAAGAACAAAUUUGUGUUUCUUUCUUUCUUAAAGGAGCAACUUUGAAAGUGCUUCCUCUGUUUUCACGCAGAGAGUUUUCUUCACACUCACUGGCAUGCCGUUAAGUUAGGCUUACGUAUCUUUGUUUUGGUUCAAGUGUUGCACUUACGUGAGCUGAUUUCUCGACAUGCUAUAUCCCUAACACUAAAGUAAUUUUGAGGAAAUCUCUCAUAACUCUCCUGAAGAGGCCAAGAGUAGAAAAGCUGCAAAUUAGCUUCUUCUUUUUUCUGUCUCAAGAAUGGUGUCUUUUAUGGGUAGCUUGACCUGUUUAUUCUUUGGGAUGCGUUUUUUAUGACUUAUUCUAGAGAUUUGUAUAUAUUAGCUACAUAUCUAUGUUAAUUGUUUCAGUUUCCUGGUAAAUUGGUCCAUCGUUGUUGCUA